rnacentral:rRNA from 1 species
AUUGAACGCUGGCGGCAUGCCUUACACAUGCAAGUCGAACGGCAGCACGGGAGCAAUCCUGGUGGCGAGUGGCGAACGGGUGAGUAAUAUAUCGGAACGUGCCCAGUCGUGGGGAUAACGUAGCGAAAGCUACGCUAAUACCGCAUACGAUCUACGGAUGAAAGCGGGGGAUCGCAAGACCUCGCGCGAUUGGAGCGGCCGAUAUCAGAUUAGGUAGUUGGUGAGGUAAAGGCUCACCAAGCCGACGAUCUGUAGCUGGU